rnacentral:hammerhead_ribozyme from 1 species
AUUCAGCUGACAAGUCCCAAACAGGACGAAACGCGCAUCCUGAAU